GUGUGACAUCAGCGGUCAUGGAGAGUCUCCAUCCAGCUGGAUCACUGUCACAGACAAACACACCACCACACCUCCACCUACAUCCACACCUCCACCUGGUUCCUAUCUUCUUCCUGCCUUGGCAUGUGUUGGAUCAGUGUGUGUUGUGGUUCUACUGGUGUUACUGGUUCUGCUGCGGAGACGAUGUGUUCACAGGAAACCUGAAGCAGUGAGAACUGAAGACGUCAUUUAUGAACAAAUCAUCAUCAAAGAGAAGAAAAACAGAUCAAAGCCGAGAGAGUGUGAUCCAGCUGUAAUCUACUCAGCAGUGAGAACUGAAGAAAUCAGCUAUGGGCAAAUAGCUGUUACACCAAAGAGGAAAAGAGACUUUAAACCAGAGCCAGACGUCGUCUACUCUUCACUGAAGUAGUCCACCAGUCCAACCACUGACGUCCAGCUGCUGGUCUCUAACUGGUCCCCCAGCACCUCAGACCAGGGGACAUCCACAUGUUCAAAAUAUUUUUUAACAUAUUUUAUUUGUUUUCUCACUUAUUUAGACUCAUAUUAUUAAAAUAAAAAUGCUGUGUCAAGGCUUCUGACUGACACGCGCAAGCGAGAGCACAUAUCCCCUAUACUUGCCUCACUAUACUGGCUGCCAGUAAGUUUCUGAAUUGAUUUUAAGAUCUUGACGCUGGUUUUUAAAACAUUGCAUGGACUAGCUCCUAUUUAUCUUUCUGAUCUUCUAAACUGGGAUACUCUGGUGAGAUCUUUGAGGUCUGCGGACCAAAUGCUUCUAGCUGUCCCCAGGUCUAGGUUAAAACACAGAGGAGAUCGGGCUUUUGCUGUGACUGCUCCGAAACUGUGGAAUAAACUGCCUUUACAUAUCAGGACCUCUCCAACCCUGGAUACUUUUAAAACUUGUCUAAAGACCCAUUUUUACUCCUUGGCUUUUAAGUCGGUAUGAGUCUGUCAUUAUUUUAUUCUUAUUAUUUUCUUAUCCUUGAUUUUACUUUCCUUUUAAAUUUUAUCUGAUUAUUCUUUUGUAAAGUUGUUGUUUU